rnacentral:rRNA from 1 species
CCAGACUCCUACGGGAGGCAGCAGUGGGGAAUAUUGCACAAUGGGCGCAAGCCUGAUGCAGCGACGCCGCGUGAGGGAUGGAGGCCUUCGGGUUGUAAACCUCUUUCGCCAGUGAAGCAGGCCUGCUCCUUGUGGGUGGGUUGACGGUAGCUGGAUAAGAAGCGCCGGCUAACUACGUGCCAGCAGCCGCGGUAAUACGUAGGGCGCGAGCGUUGUCCGGAAUUAUUGGGCGUAAAGAGCUCGUAGGCGGCUGGUCGCGUCUGUCGUGAAAUCCUCUGGCUUAACUGGGGGCUUGCGGUGGGUACGGGCCGGCUUGAGUGCGGUAGGGGAGACUGGAACUCCUGGUGUAGCGGUGGAAUGCGCAGAUAUCAGGAAGAACACCGGUGGCGAAGGCGGGUCUCUGGGCCGUUACUGACGCUGAGGAGCGAAAGCGUGGGGAGCGAACAGGAUUAGAUACCCUGGUAGUCCACGCCGUAAACGUUGGGCACUAGGUGUGGGGGGCCUUUUCCGGGUCUUCCGCGCCGUAGCUAACGCAUUAAGUGCCCCGCCUGGGGAGUACGGCCGCAAGGCUAAAACUCAAAGGAAUUGACGGGGGCCCGCACAAGAAGGGCGAAUUCC